rnacentral:rRNA from 1 species
ACUCCUACGGGAGGCAGCAGUGGGGAAUUUUGGACAAUGGGGGAAACCCUGAUCCAGCCACGCCGCGUGAGUGAAGAAGGCCUUCGGGUUGUAAAGCUCUUUCAGCCGGAACGAAACGGUCACGGCUAAUAUCCGUGACUACUGACGGUACCGGAAGAAGAAGCACCGGCUAACUACGUGCCAGCAGCCGCGGUAAU